ACUCUCUCAGCUCUGCACAGUUACACCUUUUUGCACAUGUGCGACUUUCGUAAUGGGGAGAGAGAGAAAGGAUCUCCCUGGGACCUAAGAGUGGCCAUUCUUUCCUGAAGGGGCGAAACAGGU